rnacentral:lncRNA from 1 species
AAAAACUUUAUUUUAUUCAUUUAUUUUUAUGUGGUGCUGAAGAUUGAACCCAGGGUCUCGCACAUGCGAGGCAAGCGCUCUACCACUGAGCCACAACCCCAGCCCCCUGGGCAAUCUUGAUUAGAGGAAAGGAAAUCUUUUGCCUGGUCCCUGGCCCCAGUACUGCUGUAAACUCAGGAGCUUUGCCUCUUAGGAAUCGAGAGGCCUGGCCAUUUAGUACUGAAUCUUUUGGUCCUGACCUGCCAAUAACUUCUUUGUCUAAUCCCUCAGGUUAAAGAGGAGGACAAAACUCUGCCCAAACCUGGCCCUCCUGGCAAGGAGGAAGGGGCUCUAGAGGGCAGUUCCAAGGACAGUGGUGGUCCACCUAGGAGUCCUCAGCCUGCUACCAGCCCAGUACCUUCAGAGACUUCCCACAGAACCAAGAGCCCUGCACCCCCACUCG